rnacentral:rRNA from 1 species
GACGAACGCUGGCGGCGGGCCUAAUACAUGCAAGUCGAGCGAAGCGGCGGAUGGGUGAGUAACGCGUUGGUAACCUGCCCUUAAGUGUGGGAUACCAUUUGGAAACAGAUGCUAAUACCGGAUACUAACGGAUGGACCUGCGAUGCAUUAGCUAGUUGGUAAGGUAACGGCUUACCAAGGCGAUGAUGCAGCGCGGAGGUGAGAGACGGAUCGGCCACAUUGGGACUGAGACGCGGCCCAAACUCCUACGGGAGGCAGCAGUAGGGAAGCUGACACAAUGGACGAAAGUCUGAUGGAGUAACGCCGCGUGAGUUAAGAAGGUUUUCGGAUCGUGAAGCUCUGUUGUUGGUGAAGCGGUAAUCAACCAGAAAGUCACGGCUAACUACGUGCCAGCAGCCGCGGUAAUUC